rnacentral:rRNA from 1 species
GACCUCAAAUCAGGUAGGACUACCCGCUGAACUUUAGCAUAUCCAAUAAGCCGGGAGGAAAAGAAACUACAAGGAUUCCCCUAGUGACUGC